rnacentral:lncRNA from 1 species
GCUCAUUACUUCUUGAGGAAUCCCAUUAUAUGUGACUUGUUCUCUUGGGUAAGAGAUUAUUUCUUGUUUUGAAAUUAAAUCUAAUUGAGAUGACUUACCAGUUUUAGGCCUGUCUUCUGGAACCGUUUAGGAUAAUUAUGAUCCAUCUUCCAUAUGCCAAUCUUGUUAAUGUUUGAAGACCCUUUUCCUAUUUAUAAGUCAUUUGUAGUUUUCUCAUAGCAUCUAAACUUGCUUUCAGUUUGGAUUGGUCUGCACAAAGCAGUCUCUAUUUUUUAUUGCUUUGCAAGUGCAGCCUUGCAACAGAUCUGUGCUUCACUUCUUAUGGUUAGGCACAAAGUAUGGGCUCUUUCCACAUCUUUGGAGAACGAAUAAAUGGUGAGCUGAGUCUCUACUAUAGUAUAUGAGUCUGAAGGGUUUGCAGUUUCCUACUCUUGUAAUCUAAUGUCCAUUAGACUGUUGCCCUGUACACACUGUUAGAGCUCACAAAAUGGCUGGAAGUUUAUCCGGGCAUUUGACAACAUUGCAUUUACUUCAUCAGGCCACUAGGUGAUGAACAACUCACAAACCCAGACUUCCAGGGGCAGUUGUAUACAGGACAGUUUUAGAUUGUAGUUGGAAAGGCUAUCAGAAGUCAUUUGGUACAACCUUAUUAAAAGGUCUUUUGGGGAUGGGGGGAGGGGAAACAUGUCUUGUGUAUACUUUGUCUUUCCCAGCUUUAUUCCAAUUUUAAAUAUUAAUUUGAAUAGGGUACUUCUUUCUCUGAGUGAUCUUAGAAAAGGGGCCUGGGUGGUACUUUCAAGGUUCUUUUGUGCCCAAUUAUGUAUAUGUAUAUUUCAAAGGUUUUAUUUUUAAGUAAUCUCUACCCAACGUGGGGCUCAAACUUAUAGCCCUGAGAUCAAAAGUCUCAUGUUCUACCAACUGAGCCAGCCAGGUGCUCCUGUAUUUUACCAUAAUGUAGGAAUGAUGUCUUGGCUUGGUUUAGGAUUCUCAAAUAGUAGUUCUAGCCACUACAAAGUCUACAUGCAGCUUUCUUCUGUCUUCAGUUUCAAGUGAUACAGAUGGGAAGUCCAGUGCCAAUAGGAUUAUUUUUCCUUGUAAGUAAUUACCUGUCCUUUCUCUUUGGAAGUUUGUAAAUUUUUUUCUUCAUGCUUAGAUUUCAUCAUGAUAUGCUUUGGGUGUGUUUCUUUUUAAAGUAACUCUGCUUGCCCCUUGUUAACCUUUUUUAGAUCUAAAAACUUAAGUCUUUUCUUAACUCAAGGAAGUUUCCAUCUGUUUCCAACCUUCACAGAAGAAGAAACUGUCCAGAAAGAUGACUUACUCAAGGUCACUCAGCUAGUUAAAAAUGAACUUCAAGCAAAUAACUUGACUUCUUUGAUGACCUAUAUUUUCAUUGUACUGAAUAUUGCUCUGUUGAGAGGGCCAACAUGAAAAACUUGGGAAAUUUUUUAGUGAGACACGAAUUUUGCUGAGGGUCCGUGGGGACAUGAAGAAGGACAAAGAGAUGAUAAAAUUAAUUAUGAUUAAAAUGUGGCCCAUUUGGGGGCUCCUGGGUGGUUCAGUUGGUUAAGUAUCUGACUCUUGAUCUCAAUUUAGGUCAUGAUCUCACGUUUUGUGGGUUUGAGCCAUGUUUCUGGCUUUGCAAUGAUGGUGUGGAGCCUGCUUGGGAUUCUUCCUUUUUCUCCUUCUUUCUUCCCCUCCGCACUCAUGCUUGCAAGCUCUCUCUCUCUGAGACUUUCUCAAAAUAAAUAAAUAAAAAUGUGACGCAUUUGAAGAACUAUAAAAUUCACAAGGUAUCCCAGUUACUGGAGUUAACCCAGAGCUCUAAAACUUAAUAAAGCUAGUUUUGCAAGGGAGAAAGACUUGAUAAAGCCAGGAAGUUUAUUGAACACUUGGAUAACUAGAUACUUAGUUGUCAGGAGUUGGGUAAGUAUGGUCAUGCCCUAUUGUAAAUAUUGGAAAACAUAUGAGUAUCUGAAGGCUUGGAGACAGACAUCAUAAAUUGUGUCUUAUCAGUGGUCUGGUUUCUGUUUUGAGUUCCAGCCUGGGACCCUUUUCUGCUGGGAACCACCUGUCCCUGGCUCUGUUGAUCUUUGGAUUUCCCCAGCCCUCAGUCCCUUUCAGUUUUGAAAUGAAACCUACCCCACCGGGUGAGGUCAGGUACUGAGAGAACUUUGACAGCUCAUACCAGGUUGUUUUUUUUCUAGAGUCUGGUAUGUGACUGUGUGAAGUGUAAGGCUCAGCAGGCUGUGAUAUAGACUAAUUGAUGGUGAAUCACCUGUUGGGUAGGGCCCAGGUAGUGCCAUUUCUUUGGGUAACCAGGAAAACAUGUAGACCAAAUAUGUUGUCUUUCAUCCUCAGACACUUGAAACUUAAGAGUACAGUCACCAGAGAUCUGCCAUGAUCUCUCUGCCUUGGGUUACUACAGAAGGAAAGACAUUGUUUUAUUUCAGUGUCUUUUCUCCUCAUUUUUAGAACCUCCAUUCUUUUCAGGAAGGAGCCAAGUCCUUGGCCUCUUUCUGCUGCUCCAGCUUCUAAAUGUUUAUACUGUGCCUCCUGGAAUUGCUGCUUUGAUGUGAAGUGUCUCCUCUAGAUACCCCUAGACACACAUGCCCUGCCCCAACCCCUUCACAGAAUUUAGCUUCCCCUUUUCCCUUUGUUGUGAAACUAGUUUCCAUGAUGCUAUAGCACUUUGCUUGGAAUCUUUAUAAGUGGUACUGGCUCUUUCUGUAACUCACCCCAUACCACUUCCCCCUGAUUUUACCUGACUGUCCCCCAGCCACAUCCCUCAGCACUGCAAAACUGCUUCCAGACUUUCAAAUACUUUUCCCCCUUUGAGACUUCUGCUGGCCAGCAAGGUUACCUGAUCCUUGUCCUUGAGUACAGUUAGCAUCUGUACUCAACAUGGGGCUCAAACUCACAACCCCCAAAUCAAGAGUUAUAUGCUCUACUGACUGAGCCAGUCAGGUGCCCCUCAUUCUCCCAUGUUUGUUUAAAAUUUUAGUGUUUGACCUCUCCUCCUGGGACUCUGGCCCAGGCUAGGGGAUUGGUGGUCAGGUUUGGCCUGGGUCUAGUGACUCAGGGUAGACGGUGGAAUUAGGGAGCUUGGUGUCAACAUCUCAGAUGUGGGCAGAUGGGAAACUGUAAGAUCUGAACACCAGAGCCAUCUGGGGUGGAAGGGACAGAGAAAAUUUAGCAUCUGAAGCAAAGGACAUCCUUUGUAGGUUCCCUCUUCUGCUCAUUUGAAAAAAAAUUAAGGGGUGCCUGGGUGGCUCAGUCAGUUGGAUGUCGGACUCUUGAUUUCAGCUUGGGUCAUGAGCUCGCAGUUUGUUGAUCUGAGCCCUGCGUCAGGCUUCAUGCUGACAGUGCAGAGCCUGCUUGGGAUUCUCUGUCUCCUUGUCUCCCUCUCUUUCUUCCCCUCUCCCACUUCUGCACACCUGUGCCCUCUCAAAAUAAAUAAAAAUAAAAAAAUUUUUACAAAUUAAGUUUUUUUAUAACAGUUUUAGGUUCACAGAAAAAUUGAGGGGAAGAUAACAGAUUCCCAUGAUUAUUAUUUUUAAGUAAGCUCUAUGUGGGGCUCAAACUCACAACCCUGAGAUCAAGAGUCACAUGCUCUCUCUCUGCUCCUCUCCCCUGCUGUGCACGCUGUCCCUUUCUCUCUUUAAAACAAAACAAAACAAAAAAAGAGUCACCUGCUCUACUGACUGAGCCAGACAGGCACCCUGAGAUCCCCAUUAUUUUUGAAAAAUUGAUCUUUAAUUUCAUAGGGAAUAUAGUAAUAUAAUCUAAAAAAAAUGAAAAUCGGUAGACAUUUUGAAUUCUCUUGUUCUCCUCCCAUUCUCAUUUCACUUAUUUUUGUAUUCCUCAAAGGUGGUAACCUUGUUAGUGUUUGAAAUGUAGCUUCUAGACUUUUUUCUUUGUGUUUACAUACAUGUGUAUGAACCCAGAAAAAGAGUUAUUUUUGUGUUUAUACAAAUGGGGUCACAUUUUACGUAUUAUUUCAGUAUUUCUUUGAUUCAGUAAUGUACCUGGAUAAUAUUUCAUGUUGAUACAUAAAGAUAACUUCUCCUUUAUUUUGGCUACUGUGUAGUUUUUUGUAUAAUAGAUACACUGUGUAUAGCUACUUUCCUAUUGAGAGACAUUAAGGUAUUUCCAUUUUGAUGCUAUAAAUGAUUCUUGUUGUGUUUUAAAUGUUAGCAUUCUUUCCUAGGGCUUCUUUUUUCUUUUUCCUCAUACUCUUCCUAGGUGAUCUCAACUUCUCUGACAGCUCCACUUAACCAUCUACACAUGGAUGAUGCCCAGAUCUUUCUAUGGACCACAGUAUCCAACUGCUCAUGUAGACAACAUCGCAAGGAUGUUUUGCAUACUCGGCAAAAUGCAGUCUCCUGCUCUUCCCCACUUGCUCGUCAUCCAUUGUCCUCAUCACAUGUAAGUAGCACACUCUUGAUAGGCCCAAAGCCUGGUAGUCAUUCCCUUCCCCUCGUACAGCCAGCAACCAGCCUGUCACUAGGACUUUUCCUCCCCAUUAUUUCUUGGAUCCAGUUGCUUUCUUUCCUUCUUCAUUGCGGGUACUUUGUCCCUUAGUUUUCUGAUUUAUAAAAUAGAGUAUUUGUGAGUACUAAAUAAAUUAACACACAUAAAAUGCUUAGAACAAUAGAUUGGCACCCAGUAAGUGCUAUGUGAAUAUUGAUUAUUGUCAUCAUCAUCGUCACCGUUGUUGUUGGGGUCUUCUCAUCUUAGUGUACAUAAUCCAUUCUCAUAUCUACCUCCAGUCUUGAUUUUAUCCUUCCCUACCUCUGUUCCAUUCUGCACAUUGUAGCCAGAGUGAUCUUUAUAAUAUAUACAAAUGAUCAUGGUCUAACUUUCCUGCUUAAAACAACUUCGGUGAUUUCACAUUGGGCUUUUACAUGUACUGUCACCCCCAUCUGGAAUGCUUUUUCCUUGGUCUUUGCAUGGUUAUUUGUUUUUUUGUUUGUUUGUUGUUUUGAUAUACCUGUUUCUAAAUGUCAUCUUCUCAGAGAGGCCUUCCCCUGACCACCUAAUUAUUCCAAAGUAGCCAUACCUAUUCUUUCUAUCACAUCACCUUUUUUAAUCUUUGCAUAACACUUAUUAAUACGUUAUUUUUCUGUCUUAUUCACGUAUUUGUUUAUAAUCUCCUUCAAUUAAUUUUUUUUAUUUAAUUUUUUUUUUAAACUAGGCUCCACACCCAGUAUGGGACUUGAGCUCAUGACCCUGAGAUCAAGAGUUGCAUGUUCUACCAACUGAGCCAGCCAGGCAUCCCUAGUCUCCUUCAAUUAGAAUUAAAUUCUCUGAGAAAGACAGAUACAUGUUUUCACUCAUAUGUGGAAUUUGAGAAAUUUAACAGAAGACUAUGGGAGAAGGGAAGAAAAAAAAACAGUUACAAACAGAGAGGAAGGCAUUUCAUAAGCGACUCUUCAAUACAGAGAACAAACUGAGGGUUGAUGGGGGUGUGGGGUUGGUGGAACAGGGAAAAUGGGUGAUGGGCAUUGAGGAGGACACUUGUUGGGAUAAGAACUGGGUGUUGUAUGUAAGUGAUGGAUCAUGGGAAUCUACUCCUGAAGCCAAGAAUACACUGUAUACACUGUAUGUUAGCUAACUUGACAAUAAAUUUAUAUUAAAAAAAAAAAAGAAUUUUCUG